GACUAACGCUGGCGGAAUGCCUCAUACAUGCAAGUCGCACGGGCCUUCGGGCUAGUGGCGGACGGGUGAGUAACACGUAGGUAACGUGCCUUGUGCUGGGGACAACAGAUGGAAACGUCUGCUAAUACCGCAUAAGACAGUGGUUGAAAUACUGCUGUUUAAAGCCUCGGCGGCACAAGAUCGGCCUGCGUCGGAUUAGCUUGUUGGUAGGGUAAUGGCCUACCAAGGCGACGAUCCGUAACUGGUCUGAGAGGAUGACCAGUCACAGUGGGACUGAGACACGGCCCACACUCCUACGGGAGGCAGCAGUAGGGAAUAUUGCGACAAUGGGCGAAAGCCUGACGCAGCAAUCCCGCGUGGAGGAU
rnacentral:rRNA from 1 species